CUAACGACUCUCGGCAACGGAUAUCUCGGCUCAUGCAUCGAUGAAGAACGUAGCGAAAUGCGAUACUUGGUGUGAAUUGCAGAAUCCCGUGAACCAUCGAGUCUUUGAACGCAAGUUGCGCCCGAAGCCAUUCGGCCAAGGGCACGUCUGCCUGGGCGUCACGC
rnacentral:rRNA from 1 species